GUCCACGCCGUAAACGAUGAGUGCUAGGUGCUGUGGGUAUUGACCCCCGCGGUGCCGCAGCUAACGCGUUAAGCACUCCGCCUGGGGAGUACGGCCGCAAGGCUAAAACUCAAAGGAAUUGACGGGGGCCCGCACAAGCGGUGGAGCAUGUGGUUCAAUUCGACGCAACGCGCAGAACCUUACCUGGGUUAAAUCCACUCAAACCUGACAGAGAUGUCGGGGUGCCUUUCGGGGAAUGAGUGAGAAGGUGCUGCAUGGCUGUCGU
rnacentral:rRNA from 1 species